UUAUUUGACUGUGCCAGGUCUUAGUUGUGGCACGUGGGAUCUUCAUUGCCGCGUGCAGGAUCUUUAGUUGCGGCAUGCAGGAUCUUAGUUAGACGACCAGGUAUCGAACCCGGGCCCCCUGCACUGGGAGCGCGGAGUCUUAGCCACUGGACCACCAGGUAAGUCCCUGACCUCUUGACAUUAUUACAGUUGGCCGCUCUCCUCCUUGUUACACCUCUCUUGGGACUCAGGGUUCCUCUGAGUUCCCUUUGAUGCCUCCACUUCCUUUGCUGAAGACUCAGUUCUGGGGUCCCUUCUUUUCUGUAUCUAAAUGCUCUUUUAGUCACUGUGGGUCUUCAGCACCUGGAACAUAAUAGGUGUUCAGUGAAGGUCUGUGAAAUAAGAUAAUAGCAUCCGCAUCAUAGGAUUAUUGCGUGAAAAGUGGACCAAGAAUGAAUAAUAAAGUAGUGGCAACUUUUAAUUGAGUGCUUACUAUGUGCUAAGCUCUUUUCUUGUAUUAUCUCACUGAGUCUUCCCAACAGUCCUUUGCACUAGGAAUUCCUAUUAUUACCAUUCUUUAGAAGAGGAAGUUGAAGCUUAGACAAAUGACUUGCCUAAGUUCACACAGAUAAUAAGUGGACAGGGAAUUCCCUGGCGGUCCAGUGGUUAGGACUCGGUGCUUUCACUGCUGAGGGCGCGGGUUCAAUCCCUGGUCAGGGAACCUUAGUUCCUGCAAGCUUCAUGGCUCAGCCAAAAAAAUAAAAAUAAAAACCUUUAAAAAAAAAUAAGUGGAUGAACCCAUCCUCACUUUGGUCUUUCUGACUCAAAGUCAAUUCUCAGAAUCACUAAAUUGAGAUCAUAUGUAGGAAAGUGCUUUGUAAACAGCAAAAGACGAUGUUACUACAGUACAUAGCAGCACACAGCAUGGCAACUUGCACAUAGUAGGUGCCCAUGAGUGUUUGCUGAAUUGAGGCAGGGUGGGAGGAAGUCCCACACCAAAUAGUACCAUCACCCGAGGAAGGAAGAAGCAAUCUUGAGGACCUCGGAGACUCAAGUCAACCUUCCACCAUACGCUGAAUCUUUUGUGAUGCUCAUCAGCUAAUACAAGACGCGUAAAGUGGGCAUUACCCAGACAUUUGCCCAACAUGGUUUCUAUCUUUCCUCCUUCAGUUAAGUCUCCACAGCUGGAACUGUUGGGUUAAUAAAUGCACAAUCAUUCCAGGGGGCUGGGGCUUGUUUAGCUCCUAAAUCACCUCUGAUUUUAACAGGCCAGAGCGUGCUCCCUGAGGUGGGGAUCUUCUCAGAUUACUAACAGUGGUUUUAGAUGUUUUACUGUGUGUCUGGAGAUAGGAAAGAACCCUAGAAUUAGCCAACUUUUGACCCCUCACUACACUGAAUUCUACAGACAAGGGGUUUAAACCAUAUCUGUUUUUAAAAAUUUUAUUGAAGUAUAGUUGAUUUACUUUUUUUCUUUUUUUAAUUUUAUUGACCAUAUUCCUUGAACAUUCUACCUCCAUAUACUAAAGUUCUAGUGGGAUUCAAUGUAAGGAUCUUCAUUAGGAAGAGUACCAGGAGGGAAGAUACGUCACCUGGUAAUUCCAUCUUCCCCAUCUUCAGCCGGGUUAGUGGUCUUUUCUACAACUUAACCCUUCCUCAUUCUCAGAUGUUUAGUUUGCGUGGAGUUGAGCCCACCCCCAGCUCCUGAGGACAGGAUCCUGAUUGACUGAAGCCAAAGUGUGGCCUUGGUUUGAGGAUAGGCCCUUGACCUAAUUUGGGCCACAGUGCUCCCUGUAGAACACUAAUUAAACUCUGCCUGAAGGAGGAUGGUCCAUCAGGUAAAUGUGGGAAAUGCAGUAAACAAUAUUCCUACUCGGGGAUUCUGUUUUUUUCAGGAACCUCAAUUAUCCCAUCUCUCCCCAGAUUGUUGAAUUACUCCCUCUCAACUAGAUGAUUACUGUGGUUUUAAACAUGCAUAAGUGUCUCAUAUGUUAAAAAAAAGGAAGAAAGAGAAAGAAGGAAAAAGCCUACAUGGAUCCCUCUAGCCCACCACCCUAUCUCCUGUCUUUCUCAGCUACAGAAUUGUCAGUAUUUCCUCUCUCCACUUCUACUCCCCCUUCUAUUCCAUCCCUCCUCCACAGAAAUGACCCUCAGGUCACCCCUACCUCCAUGUCGAAAAGCGCAUGGACGUGUUUCAAUCGUCAGCUCCUUUGACUCCGCAGGAGUACUUGACACUAUUGGUCACUUCUUCCUCCUUAAAGCACUCUGGUCCACGGGCUUCCAUGACAUCGCGUGACUCUCCUGGUCUCAGUCCUACCUCUCUGACUGCUCCUUCUCCGUUCUUUGCAGACUUAUCCUCUUCUACGCAACCCCUAAAUGAUGGGGUUCUCUCCUCCUCUGACUUUGCGGCUUCUCCUUAGACAAUUUCAUUGACGCUCACGGCCUCAGUUACCAGCAGGCCUCAGUCACGUCCCCACUCCUGGAGCUGGCAGGGAUGGAGACCCCGUAAUGGGGGAGGGGAGCUGUUUCCCACGUAAUGGGGAGGGGAAGCAGGGUACUAUUCACAAAAGAAGGAGAAAGGGAGGCUGAAGAGCAGAAAAAAAAAAACAGAUGGUCACUACAAGCAUGCAUUCUGGGUAAGCUCAUGCAAAUUAUCAAAACAGGCUCCUUUUGGGUCUCAGAAAUUUCUCAUCAUUGGAACCCUAAGCAGGACUGAGUACAGGCCCCCAAAAUGCUGAUUUCCUCUGUAGACAGAACACUGUGUGGUUUGCAAAGGAGGCAGCCUCGGCUAGGCCACUAAGAUCAACUUUUCCCACCCGCAGCAUCCUGAAAGAACACGUAGCAAGAAGGUGGAGGGAGACAGACCACUAGCACUCCACUUCUUUUAAACACACCCCAUAGAGACACAUAUGUAGAGAACAAACGUAUGGACACCAAGGGGGGAAAGUGGCAGGGCGGUGGUGUGAUGAAUUGGGAGAUUGGGAUUGACAUAUAUACACUAAUAUGUAUAAAAUGGAUAACUAAUAAGAACCUGCUAUAUAAAAUAAAUAAAUAAAAUUCUAAAAUUCAAAAAACAAACAAAAACACACCCCAAAGUCAUCAGUGCCAAGGGGAUGCUUUGUCUGAGGUUAGACAUCCUCUCAGGGCUUUUGUUUUUGCUUUUCUUUUUUUUUUUUUUUAAUUAAUUUAUUUUUAGUUUGGGCUGCAUUGGGUCUUCGUUGCUGCGCACGGGCUUUCUCUAGUUGCGGCGAGUGGGGGCUAUUCUUCGUUGCGGCGCACGGGCUUCUCAUUGCGGUGGCUUCUCUUGUUGCGGAGCAAGGGCUCUAGGCGCGUGGGCUUCAGUCGUUGUGGCUCGCAGGCUCUAGAGCGCAGGCUCAGUAGUUGUGGCACACGGGCUUAGUUGCUCCGUGGCAUGUGGGAUCUUCCCGGACCAAGGUUCGAAUCCCUGUCCCUUGCAUUGGCAGGCGGAUUCUUAACCACUGCGCCACCAGGGAAGUCCUGUUUUUGCUUUUCUAAUAGGUACCUGGGAGAACUCACAGCUGCCUUCUGCUGGACUAGAAGUAUUUGUAUCCUGACCAUCUGCGAGGUCUUGCUCAGAGUUAGAGAACAGCUUCUCAAAUGUGGGCCAGCUGUUGGAGCUUUAAUAUGCAUAUUUGGGAGAAGUCAUAUUUAGUUUAUUAUGCCGGCCGACCAGCUGCCCACUAGGCUUGGGAUGACCUCUACAAUGCAUCUAAGGCUAACCCUUAGACUCAGAAGAAUGGUCACCUCUUCCUUCAUGCAGUAUUUUCUGCCUGUCCCCUCAAAAGCUGAGUUUGGGGCUUCUUUCUUUGUGUUUCCGUGGAAAUGCUGUACUAGGUACACCUUUUCACUUGUAAUUUGCCCCUACUACUCUCUGGGCUCCUUGAGGCAGGGACCAUGAGUCACAUCACAAACAAUUAGGACAGAGCUGGAAUAUGGUGCUCUAUGAAUGAAGCCCAUUGUUCUCUGCAUCUGUGUCUCUGUUUCUGCCCUGCAAACCGGUUCAUCUGUACCAUUUUUCUAGGUUCCACAUAGAUGCGUUAAUAUAUGAUAUUUGUUUUUCUCUUUCUGACUUAACUUCACUCUGUAUGACAGUCUCUAGAUCCAUCCACGUCUCUACAAAUGACCCAAUUUCGUUCCUUUUUAUGGCCUAGUAAUAUUCCAUUGUAUAUAUGUACCACAUCUUUAUCCAUUCGUCUGUCGAUGGGCAUUUAGGUUGCUUCCAUGUCCUGGCUAUUGUAAAUAGUGCUGCAAUGAACAUUGGGGUGCAUGUGUCUUUUUGAAUUAUGGUUUUCUCUGGGUAUGUGCCCAGUAGUGGGAUUGCUGGGUCAUAUGGUAGCUCUAUUUUUAGUUUUUUAAGGAACCUCCGUACUGUUCUCCAUAGUGGCUGUUCCAAUUUACAUUCCCACCAACAGUGUAGGAGGGUUCCCUUUUCUCCACACCCUCUCCAGCAUUUACUGUUUGUAGGUUUUUUAAUGAUGGCCAUUCUGACCUGUGUGAGGUGAUACCUCAUUGUAGUUUUGAUUGACGUUUCUCUAAUUAGUGAUGUUGAGCAUCUUUUCAUGUGCUUUUUGGCCAUCUGUAUGUCUUCUUUGGAGAAAUAUCUAUUUAGGUCUUCUGCCCAUUUCUUGAUUGGGUUAUUUUUUUUUUUUGAUAUUGAGCUGCAUGAGAAGUUUGUAUAUUUUGGAGAUUAAUCUCUUGUCAGUUGCUUAAUUUGAAAAUAUUUUCUCCCAUUCUGAGGGUUGUUUUUUUGUUUUGUUUAUGGUUUCCUUUACUGUGCAAAAGCUUUGAGUUUAAUUAGAUCCCAUUUGUUUAUUUUUGUUUUUAUUUUCAUUCAGCUUUAUUUUUUGUUCAAGUGAACCAUUGGAGUGCAGAGCAUACGAGGACCUUGUUGAGGCUGUUAACGCCUCCGACCAGGCUAGACAUGGUGACCUAUUUAUCUAAGGCAAUCAAUGCCACUGUAGUCAGAAAGACUCCAUAUUUGGGCCAGAAAGGAAAGCAAAGGCCAAAGGCAGAGGAGUGAUGGCAAGUAUUCAGUCUGGUAGGUAAAGUGACUAAGUGGAGAAAAUGAACCACCAAGUCUAAAGGUAGGCACACUGAAGCCAAAUGCACAGGGGAAACGUGCAGGGCAUGGUGGGACGGGUGGUUCAGCACAGAGCAAUGCCAGUCGUGAUGGGACCCAUUUCUAAUAUUCAUCUUGCUACCUUCUUUAUAGCUUAAAACUGCCAGAUAGGAUCAGACAUACUUGGUCUGAGAUCCUGUAAGAUCUGGCCCAGUUUAAAACCUGUAUGAGAAAACUCUGAUCACCAGAGAUAUCUCUCUGUCAGGCAGCAUUGCCUGGACAACUGGCAUGGCAGUUCUGUUAGGCUUUAUCUUGAUGACCUUUUGUUCUCUGCCCCACACUACUCGUGAUUGCUACAGGUAUGUAGCACUGCCAAGCUACAGGGUCACCUUUUCCAUUUCCUCUUCCUGGGCUCAAGCACUGUCUACAUUUCCUAGCCUCCCUUGAGUUAGGUUGUGGUCAUGUGAUGGGGCUGUGACGAAUGGAAUGUGGGAGGAAGUGAAAUGGGCCACCUCCAGGUAUGACCAUCAAAUGCCCCUUGGGACCUACCCCGUACUCUCCCUCUCUCUCUGUUCAUCAGCCAGCCGAAUGCAGAGGCUCCAAGUUGGAGGAAGCCUGUAUUCCAUUCAGGAGAGUCUACUGAAAACAUCCAGUCAGACUGUAUCCUAGGGGGAAAAUAAACCUUUGCUGUAAGCCACUAAGCACUGAAGGUUGUUUCAGCAGCUAGCACUCCCCUGACUAAUACAGGUCUAAAAAGCUACCCAUGAUAGCUUCCAACAUAGCAGAAAAUGAUUGGGAUGAUAAUAUUGAAGCAGGAUUUCCAUGAAUGUGUUAAGGUUCCACAGGUACCUCAAGGUGGAGCCAGUGAAGAUGGACAGAGGUCACAUCACUACAGAAAGACUCCUAGAUUGCAAGCUCCACCAUCAUCUCUAGCGAAGAUCUUCAAAGGAAAGGGUUGUUCUGCGGCCACGGAGGCUGGAACAAUGCCUGGCACACAGAAGGUUCUCCAUGAGUGUCAGCUGAUAGGAACUGAAUCCAAAACCCCAUGCCUACCCUGCCGUGGACAUUUCUCCAGCAGAACUUAUCAUCACAGGGCAUAUUAUACACUUGUUUGUUUGUUUGGCUGUGACACACGGCAUGCGGGAUCUUAGUUCCCCGACCAGGGAUCGAACCGGUGCCCCCUGCAGUGGAAGCGCGGGACCCUAACCACUGGACUACCAGCUCAGGGUCUGGAGUGUCCACACCCCGCAGGGGCUUCUCUGAGAGGCCAGCUGGCUGACAGCCUGGGCAGAGCAACACCUCUUCAGGCCCACCAGGAAUUCCACGGCAUCUCCACAGCAGCCUUGGGAGAGAUGCUGAUGAGUUCUUCCACCAACCAGGGGAAAGCCACGCUUAUAAAAGCUUCCAGGCCUCAGCGAUAAUUUCUCCCCUUUCCACACCCCUCCCCGCUCCCCUGGGCCCUUUCCCAUCUUAGCUCUGUUUCUGCAGGAAGCAGGACAGAAAGGACUUGGUUUGAUGCAAGUGAAGGAGAGAGAGCACAGACUUGGAACUCUCAGGAACUGGCUUUGCAGCCCAGCUGUGCCAAAACAAGUUUGGACAAGUCACUCAACCUCUCAGCCUCAGACAAAUAACAGGAACAGACAAUUAAAGUAGGAAUAAUACUUGUGACCAUUAUUAGUAGUAGAAGUGUAAGGGCUUUGGGGUCAGAGUCCUUUGGGUCAAAUCAUGGAUUCUACCUCUUGACGGUACCUGACUUCACUCCAAGUCUAAGUUUCUCAUUUGUGAAAUGGGAACAAUAAUAAUACCUCAAAGGGAUAUUGGGAGGAUUAAAUGAGAUAAUUAGAUCUAAAGCUCUCUGCAGCAAGGGUACACAGUAAGUGCUCUAUAAAGGUCAGCAACGGUCACUUUAAUUAUAAUUGUGCCUCUUCAUGAGCCCUAUAACAUAUAGUCCAGAUUCCCAACUACACACAGUAGGUGUUAAUGGGUAGCUGUGGAAUGAAUAGAUGAAUGAAUGGAUGGACGAAUGAACAAACUCGCCAUCACUUUUGGUCUGGGACUCUUCUUCAUGCCUAAUCCCCUUUGACCUAAAUGCAAUAGAAAUUUUAGCAGCUUCAAGACUUUCAGUCUUCUUGUUUUUUCAUGACUGGAUGAGGCAGUUUAAAAUAUGUCUGCAACUCUGACACUCCCUUCAGAAGGUGGACCCUAAUUCCCCUCCUUGACUAUGAACUGAACUUAGUGCCUUGCUUCUAACAAAUAGAAUAAAGUAGAAGUGACAGUGCGCAACUUUUAAGACCAGAUCAUAAAAAUCAUGGAGGUCUCCCUCUUGGAUUGCUUGCUCUGGGGGAAGACAGCUGCCAUUUCAUAAGCAUGCUCAAGCAGCUCUGUGGAGGGGUACAUGUGAUAAGGAACUGAGGCCUCUUGCCAACAGCCAUGUGAGUGAGCCAUCACGGAAGCAGAUCCCCUGGCCCCAGUCAAAGAUUUGACUGCAUCCUCAUCAGAGACUCUGAGCAAGGACCACCCAUCUGAGCCUCUCCCAAUUUCCUGACCCAGAAAAACCAUGAGAUAAUAAGUGCUGGGGUUUUUUAAAAAAUAUAUUUAUUUAUUUAUUUGGCUGCAUCAGGUCUUAGUUGCAGCACACAGGAUCUUCAUUGUGGCGUGCUGGAUCUUUAGUUGUGGCGUGUGAACUCUUAGUUGUGGAAUGAGGCAUCUAGUUCCCUGACCAGGGAUCAAACCCGGGCCCCCUGCAUUGGGAGCACAGAGUCUUAGCCACUGGACCACCAGGGAAGUCCCAAUAAGUGCCAUUUUAAGUGGCUAUGUUUGGGGAUAAUUUGUUACAAAGCAACAGAUAAUAAUAUACUUUGUAUGAAUAUUCUUGAUAAAAGUUUGAAACAAAGGCUUUUCUAAUAAUACUUGGCUCAUGGAGACUUCUGACUGUUCAUUCUACAUAGUGUUUUAACACUAUUCAGAAAGCCUGAACCCACACUUUUCUUGUGACAUUACUAUUACUAGACCAUGCCUGUUAACUAAUUAAGGACCCUUCCCUGCCUGGGAUCUCAAGUGGGCUGCAUCCUGACAUCUGUUGUACACCAGCCCUCAGUGGGAUUGGCACCACUGGAUCCCUUGGCUGGGAAGGAAGAGUCAGACUCAGGGAUAAGCAGGCUUCUGUCCUGUCAGUAGCUCAUAUUUGAAAGCAUCAUAUUAUCAAUUUCAGGAGGGUCCAUCUCAGAGAGACUAUUUCCUUACUGACAGCUCCCAUGCUGUUUUAACAGCAGCUAAUCCCUUCACCUUAUUUGGAGACAACUUCAGAACCCUUUCCCUGGCUAGCCAAGUCUCGGCACUUGCUGGAGAGAACUGUCAGAGGCCUUUGCAUCUGGGAAGUCUCUGCCUAAUGUGGAAAAGAUCCUGGAAAGAGUGUCUGUGACUGAUCAGGUUGAGGGCUCAGGGCUGAUAAAGACAAGCCAGCUCUUCUUCUCUCACCAUGAGGAUGUUAGCAGUAGAGCUGUCCUGAGGGCAUGGUCAGUGUGGCUAUGGCAGUCAAGUUCAACAGUCUUUUACUGAGCAACUGCUAUGUGCCACUCACUGUAGACAAGACCAGGACACAAAGAUGAGUAGACAAGGUCCCUGCCCUCAAAGAAUUCACGGUCUAGUUGGGAAGACAGGCAAACCAGUGAAUAAUUUCAACUCAGAGCAGUAAGCAGAGGUUGAUCUGCAUACCAGGUGAACUGGGAGCAGGAGAGAGCAAGGAAGGGUUCGCUCCUUGGACAUGGAGAGGUUAGGACAGAUUCAAGGAAUACCAAGGAAGUAUGAUCAGCCAUGAGCCAAGUAGAGGGGAGAAAAUCGUAUGUUAAGGACUUUGAAGGCUAGGGCAAGGAUUCCUCUGACUUCUUGGUCUUAGCUUCUGAGGGCUGGCAGGAUUUAAUUUAUCCCCUUCCAAUCUCUCUUAGAGUCUAACUGGAUCAUUAACCAUGAAAUCAAAUUUGAAAUUUAAAGGAAGAUCUCCUAAAAAGAGGUAAAAGUAAACUUACACCUGGAUUUUAGCAAGGAUCCUGAGACAAGGGUUGAGUGCAGAUUUCUUAUCAAAUCUGGAAUCUGUUUACUUUGACCAUCUGCAUUGCCCUCAUGCUUGGACUUUUGCAGUAGCCACCUAACUCAUCUCCCCAUUUCUACUCCCUAUCCUAAGUCCAGGCCCUCAUGGCAGCUACAGUGAUCCUUUAAAAUUUUCAGGGACUUUUUCAGGGGGCACGGGUUCAAUCUCUGGUCAGGGAACCAAGAUCCCACAAGCCUCAUGGUG